rnacentral:sRNA from 2 species
CCGGUUGUCAUUGGGGAGUAGCCAUCCUUGCCCCAAGGAGUUUGCGUCAACAUGCUUGGCGGUCCGCGGACCCCAUGGCGCAAACGGCUUUCGUACCGGUCGCGUUCGUCGCGCACCGGACGAAGCU